UCGUUCCAUAUUUUAUUUGGU
rnacentral:piRNA from 1 species